GGGGUUGUGGCUCAGUGGUAGAGCGCUUGCCUAGCAUGCAUGAGGCAUGGGGUUCAAUCCCCAACAUCA
rfam:Ictidomys tridecemlineatus contig109616, whole genome shotgun sequence.